AUUGAACGCUGGCGGCAGGCCUAACACAUGCAGGUCGAGCGGCAGCGGAAAGUAGCUUGCUACUUUGCCGGCGAGCGGCGGACGGGUGAGUAAUGUCUGGGAAACUGCCUGAUGGAGGGGGAUAACUACUGGAAACGGUAGCUAAUACCGCAUAACGUCGCAAGACCAAAGAGGGGGACCUUCGGGCCUCUUGCCAUCAGAUGUGCCCAGAUGGGAUUAGCUAGUAGGUGGGGUAACGGCUCACCUAGGCGACGAUCCCUAGCUGGUCUGAGAGGAUGACCAGCCACACUGGAACUGAGACACGGUCCAGACUCCUACGGGAGGCAGCAGUGGGGAAUAUUGCACAAUGGGCGCAAGCCUGAUGCAGCCAUGCCGCGUGUAUGAAGAAGGCCUUCGGGUUGUAAAGUACUUUCAGCGGGGAGGAAGGUGUUGAGGUUAAUAACCUCAGCAAUUGACGUUACCCGCAGAAGAAGCACCGGCUAACUCCGUG
rnacentral:rRNA from 1 species